AACUCAAACCCGGAAAGCAAAUUAAAACCCAUAAAACCAAUCCCCUCUUAUUUUUGAAUUUUAAACUUAAAAAACUGUAAAACAGAAACCUCUAGAACCUAAUAAAUGCACCGCUAUCAUGCCCAAUCAGAACCAAAUCCUUCCCCGUCUUUUCAAAUCUAUUUUUUCAUUUCUUCAUUAAGACGUUUCCGGAUAUCCAUGAGGUUGUUUCCUUCAAACUUUUGGGUUUCCCCUUUUUCAGCCUCAAAAAUUUGUGUCCUUCAUUUCAUCUGCUUCUUUGUACUCCCUUCCGUUCAUCUUCCUUCAGUCGCUCGGCAUAAUCCGGAACUCUACCAAUCAGGUAAAUUUCUUCUUUUUCCUUUAAUGCCUCCCUUGCAAGCAUAUGAGCUAGACUAUUUGCUUCUCUAGGCGUGUGCUCAAAAUAGUGUCUUUUUUAUUGUAUUAGUAACUGAUGAAUAUCUCGAAUAUAUGCUCCAACCCUUGAUCUAUCAUUUGCUUGUGUUUUGCAUUUCUUAAUGAUUGAAAGUGCAUCACCUUCAAUAAUAAUAUUUGGCCAUUUCAUGUUCAUACCGAUGCGAGUUGCUGUCCUACAAGCAAUUGCUUCUGCGGCAAAGGCUGAUGCUACUUGGUGAUGAAGCUUUGUAAUAGAUAAAAGGGCGUUUCCUUGACUGUCUCUGGCCACAAUUCCCACUGCCGAUUAUCGAGCAUUUUCAUCAAAGGCUGCGUCAAAGUUAAGCUUUAUAAACUGACCAAAUUGCCCAAAGAGCACAACAAAAUACCCUACGCAUAUUGAGAUUAUUCUGAUCGAAAACCCAGGACACUCACGAAAAAUGUGAUUUGUGGUUUUGCUGCUCUACCACACCCAGAACAUGUCGUUUGACUUAGGAGCCUUCUGAAGUGCAGAUUCACCCUCGUUGGAAUAUAAUUCCAAGCUAUUCGCCAAAUUGUAAUUUUUAUCUUCGAAGGUAGAUUAAGGAGCCAAAUAUUUUUGUAAAAAUCCCUAGUUUCAGUUUGUAAGGCAUAAGCCCUAGGAUCAUUUUCAUUACCUUGUAAUAGUUUAUAGGCGCUUCUCACGGUGAACUCUCCCGAGGACUCUCCCCUCCAGGCUGGAAAAUCUUUGUGAGGCUCUUUUACAAGCGAGAUGCAGAGGAUUCUCUCAGCUAUCUCCAUUGGAAAGUACUCAACACACUACAUUCUGAAAGUCCAUGGCCCAACCGUCCACAACCAAAACAGAAUAAAGGUAAUUUCUCAUACUUAAACGAAAUCCACCAUUGAUUCCUAUUAUCUGAUGAAACAAAGAUUCCUCUUCGAAGCGGUUUCUGUACAUUCAGAUUUAUUUUGAGACGACACCACUCUCCACUAAUUUUAGAUCUAAUGACUUCU